AGAGCUGUGGCUCAGUGGUAAAGCUAUGUAUGCAGAAGGUCUCAGGUUCAAUCCUUGCCAGUUCCA
rnacentral:tRNA from 1 species